CGGUCCAGACUCCUACGGGAGGCAGCAGUAGGGAAUCUUCCGCAAUGGGCGAAAGCCUGACGGAGCAACGCCGCGUGAGUGAUGAAGGUCUUCGGAUCGUAAAACUCUGUUAUUAGGGAAGACAUAUGUGUAAGUAACUGUGCACAUCUUGACGGUACCUAAUCAGAAAGCCACGGCUAACUACGUGCCAGCAGCCGCGGUAA
rnacentral:rRNA from 1 species